UUCUUCUUCUUCUUCUUCUUCAAUUUUCUUUCUUCUAUUUCUUUCUUCCCCUGUUCUUUCUCUCUGCGAGUGAUUCGAAAGAUUAAUGGAAGAUUGGUGAUCGAAGGAAGGUUUAAAAUAUCAUGGGGUAGUUGUUUGUGAUGGGGUUACCAUCUGUUGUUGAUUCAUACUUGGAGGUGGAAGUGAAUUAGAAGUUAGGGUUUCUGAGAUUUGGAAUCGAUCGAAGAUUCAUGUCAAAUUGAGGUUUUAAAGGGGAGAUUUGAGAUGGGUAUUCAUCAGGUAUGAAGUAGUAAUGAUUGCAUGGGUUUAAUUUCGAUUUCAGUUCCUCAUGUUCUUCCCCAAAUUAGAAUUAGGGUUCUGAAUUUAUUGGAAUUAGAGUGGAGUUGAUUAAGGAGGAAUUAAAGGUGGGUAUGGUUGAUAUGAGAAGUUAAAAUUAUCGUUUGAACUAAGAAUUAGAAAAUAAAGGAUCUAAUGAUUGCUGGUGGAAGAUGAGGUGUUGGAAUUUGUGAAGAGGAAUUAAAAGAGGAAGAUCCCUGACUCAGAUUAAGGUAGAGAAGAAUUAGAAGAUGGAGAUAUCGUCUAGGUGAUUGAAUUAAGAUGGGUUUGUUCUUAAUAGAUGAUUGAUUGAAGCUAUAGAAUUGUUGAUGAUUGAAUCAGUUAAUUAGGGUUUCGGAGUUUGAUUAGGAGAUGAGUUUAGAAGAUGAAAUUGAUAAUUUAGAAGAUUGAUUUGAGAUGGUUUUAACAGUUUGAGUGAAUUAGGGUUCAGAUGAAGAGUAAUUAGAAAUUGAAGAAGUCAGGGUUUUGAAGCUCAUGACUGAAGCUGUUAACAGAGUGAGGGUUUAAUUGCGUUAGUAAGAAGGUGUUGAAGCUGAUUCAAGACUCAGUGGGAAAUGCUAAUGAUAUUGGGUUUUGCAUUUGGGACUGAGGUUGAUAAUUGGAAGUUGUUGAUGAAACUAAGGCUUAAUCAUGUCAACAAGAAGGCGACGGAGUGGUUGUUAGUGUUGGUUUGCGUAUUGAAACAACCUCAGAUGAAGGAUUUAAUGUAAGAUGUUCUGUUGAAUCAAGUUAUAUGUAAGAAGAAGAGUUUAACUUCAAUUGUUGGAGAAAGUCUUUUGAGUUGCAGAGUGUAGAAUAUGAAGAUGCUGGUAGUAUGGAGAUCUGUAUUUUGGAUUCUGAAGUUAUUGGUGAUGGUUAUGGGUUUUUAUGAAAUGUUACAGGUAGAAUAGAAUAUUAUUGCAGUGUGUGAACUAGACCUUAAGUGGAUAUAGAAAGUGGUUGGGUUUACUGAAUGCUAAGAGUUGCUUGAAUUGGAUCUGCUGGUGAUUGUGAAAUAGUACUGGUAAUUGCAGAUGCAGUUGAGAGAAUAUUGUGUAAUGAUGCAGGUAGAAUGAGAUGGUGAUGUUGUUUGUGAUUAUACUAAUUACAAAUAUUAUAAACUGGUUUAGAUGAAUGAUUUAGGAAGUUGUAUGAGUUGUUGAUUGGUGGUAGUGGUUGUUGCCAGUCACGGGGAAUGGAAGAAGUAUAUGAUGAAGUUUGGAUGUAUGGGGAAUUGGAGAAUGUUGAGCUGGUAUUGCAAGGCUGUGAAGUUAUAGGUGAUGUUAAUACUGGAAUGGAGGUGCAGGUGAAGCUGUUAGUGGCUCAGGUCAAGAAGAAAGUUAGAAUGGUGAUUUAGAGGUGUAGAUAGUAGUUGUUGUGAAAGCUUGGAAUAACUGCAAUUGCAGUUACUCUGUAUUAACAACGAGCGAUUCAAAGGACGAACCAG